rnacentral:rRNA from 1 species
AAAGCUCGUAGUUGAACCUUGGGCCUGGCUGGCCGGUCCGCCUCACCGCGUGCACUGGUUCGGCCGGGCCUUUCCCUCUGGGGAACCUCAUGCCCUUCACUGGGUGUGAUGGGGAACCAGGACUUUUACUGUGAAAAAAUUAGAGUGUUCAAAGCAGGCCUAUGCUCGAAUACAUUAGCAUGGAAUAAUAGAAUAGGACGUGUGGUUCUAUUUUGUUGGUUUCUAGGACCGCCGUAAUGAUUAAUAGGGACAGUCGGGGGCAUUAGUAUUCAAUUGUCAGAGGUGAAAUUCUUGGAUUUAUUGAAGACUAACUACUGCGAAAGCAUUUGCCAAGGAUGUUUUCAUUAAUCAGGAACGAAAGUUAGGGGAUCGAAGACGAUCAGAUACCGUCGUAGUCUUAACCAUAAACUAUGCCGACUAGGGAUCGGACGGUGUUAUUUUUUGACCCGUUCGGCACCU